GUGGGGAAUCUUGCGCAAUGGGCGAAAGCCUGACGCAGCCAUGCCGCGUGAAUGAUGAAGGUCUUAGGAUUGUAAAAUUCUUUCACCGGGGACGAUAAUGACGGUACCCGGAGAAGAAGCUCCGGCUAACUUCGUGCCAGCAGCCGCGGUAAUACGAAGGGGGCUAGCGUUGCUCGGAAUUACUGGGCGUAAAGGGCGCGUAGGCGGACAGCUUAGUCAGAGGUGAAAGCCCAGGGCUCAACCUUGGAAUUGCCUUUGAUACUGGCUGUCUUGAGUUUGGGAGAGGUGAGUGGAACUCCGAGUGUAGAGGUGAAAUUCGUAGAUAUUCGGAAGAACACCAGUGGCGAAGGCGACAUACUGGUCCAUUACUGACGCUGAGGCUCGAAAGCGUGGGGAGCAAACAGGAUUAGAAACCCCAGUAGUCC
rnacentral:rRNA from 1 species